rfam:Dialister succinatiphilus YIT 11850 genomic scaffold supercont1.1, whole genome shotgun sequence.
AGUUAAGAUAGUAAGAGCAUACGGCGGAUGCCUUGGCGAUAUCUGCCGACGAAGGACGCGACAAGCUGCGAUAAGUCACGGGGAGGUGCAAAUGACCUUUGAUCCGUGAAUUUCCGAAUGGAGCAAUCCGGCUGUGGUAAUGCACAGUCACCCAUGCCAAAGAGUAUGGGAGGGAACCGGGCGAACUGAAACAUCUAAGUAGCCCGAGGAGAAGAAAUCAAACGAGAUACCCCAAGUAGCGGCGAGCGAACGGGGCAGAAGCCCAAACCGGAGAAGGAAACUUUUCCGGGGUUGAGGACCGUCAGACGAUAAGGAAGCCCAGCCGAAUCCCCUGGGAAGGGGAGCCGGAGAAUGUGAAAGCCAUGUAGGCGAAGGGCGGAUAAGGACAGACGGCACCAGAGUACCGCGGGACACGAGAAACCCCGUGGGAAGCCGGGGGGACCACCCUCCAAGGCAAAACACAGAUAUCGACCGAUAGCGCAUAGUACCAUGAGGGAAAGGUGAAAAGCACCCCGGGAGGGGAAUGAAACAGAACCUGAAACCGUAUGUUUACAAGCAGUCGGAGACCGUAUAUAUACCAGGUCGACGGCGUGCCUAUUGAAGAAUGAACCGGCGAGUUAUGAGGUCCAGCAAGGUUAAGCAGGAAAUGCGGAGCCGAAGCGAAAGCGAGUCUUAAUAGGGCGAUAAGUUGGAUUGCAUAGACCCGAAACCACAGUGAUCUACCCAUGUCCAGGCUGAAACACAGGUAAAAAUGUGCGGAGGGCCGAACCUAUAUCCGUUGAAAAGGGUUAGGAUGAGGUGUGGGUAGGGGUGAAAUUCCAAUCGAACGUGGAGAUAGCUGGUUCUCCCCGAAAUAGCUUUAGGGCUAGCCUCGAGGUAGAGAUUGCAGGCGGUAGAGCACUGAUCAGGAGAGGGACCUACCCGGUUACCAAACCCAGUCAAACUGCGAAUGGCUGCAAUUAUACUCGGGAGUCAGACUACGACUUAUAAGGGCCGUGGUCAAAAGGGAAACAGCCCAGAUCAUCAGCUAAGGUCCCAAAUGCCGUGCUAAGUGGCGAAGGAUGUGGCGUUUCAUAAACAACCAGGAUGUUGGCUCAGAAGCAGCCACCAUUUAAAGAGUGCGUAAUAGCUCACUGGUCGAGAGACGCUGCGCCGAAAAUGUCCGGGGCUCAAGCACGGAACCGAAGCUAUGGCAUGACAGCAAUGUCAUGGGUAGGGGAGCGUUCUUAUAAGGAAGAAGCAUUACCGUAAGGAGAUGUGGACAUAUAAGAAGUGAGAAUGCCGGUAUGAGUAUCGAAAAGAAAGGUGAGAAUCCUUUCCACCGAAAGCCCGAGGGUUCCUGAGCAACGAUCGUCGACUCAGGGUAAGUCGGGACCUAAGCCGAGGCGGAGACGCAUAGGCGAUGGACAACAGGUUGAAAUUCCUGUACCGGAUGGAGUCAAUUGAGCAAAGGAGCGACGCAGGAGGGCACAUGAUCGCGCGGCUGGAAGAGCGCGUCCAAGUGCGUAUGCGUAGAGGGAGGCAAAUCCCCCUUUACAGAAGCAGAGACAUGAUGGGGAGUUAAAGGAGACUUUGACGAACUCAUGGAUCCCACACUGCCAAGAAAAACUUCUAGCGAGACGAAAUCCGCCCGUACCGUAAACCGACACAGGUAGGCGGGGAGAGAAUCCUAAGGUGCGCGGGAAAACCCUCGUUAAGGAACUCGGCAAAUUGCAUCCGUAACUUCGGGAGAAGGAUGACCCUGAGUAGGCGAAAGGGAGAAACCCCCGGAACAGAAAAGGGUGGCAGAAAAGAGGCCCAAGCAACUGUUUACCAAAAACACAGGUGCCUGCGAAAGCGAAAGCUGAAGUAUAGGUGCUGACGCCUGCCCGGUGCUGGAAGGUUAAGGAGAGAGGUCAGCGAAAGCGAAGCUUUGAACUGAAGCCCCAGUGAACGGCGGCCGUAACUAUAACGGUCCUAAGGUAGCGAAAUUCCUUGUCGGGUAAGUUCCGACCCGCAUGAAAGGCGUAAUGAUUUGGGCACUGUCUCAACGAGGGGCCCGGUGAAAUUGAAAUACCUGUGAAGAUGCAGGUUACCCGCGACUGGACAGAAAGACCCCAUGGAGCUUCACUGCAGCUUGAGAUUGAAUCCCGGUGACAUAUGCACAGGAUAGGUGGGAGGCUAAGAAGUAAUGCCUUUGGGUGUUACAGAGCCGAUGUUGGGAUACCACCCUUAUGUUGCUGAGAUUCUAACACGGAGACUAACAACCUCGUGGACCAUCUCAGGCAGGCGGUUUGACUGGGGCGGUCGCCUCCUAAAAUGUAACGGAGGCGCCCAAAGGUUCCCUCAGGCCGGACAGAAACCGGCCGAAGAGUGCAAAGGCAGAAGGGAGCUUGACUGCGAGACAGACAAGUCGAGCAGAGACGAAAGUCGGGCUUAGUGAUCCGGUGGUACUGAGUGGAAAGGCCAUCGCUCAACGGAUAAAAGCUACCCUGGGGAUAACAGGCUAAUCUCUCCCAAGAGUUCAUAUCGACGGGGAGGUUUGGCACCUCGAUGUCGGCUCAUCACAUCCUGGAGCUGGAGUAGGUUCCAAGGGUUGGGCUGUUCGCCCAUUAAAGUGGUACGCGAGCUGGGUUCAAAACGUCGUGAGACAGUUUGGUUCAUAUCCAUCGCGGGCGCAAGAAGUUUGAGGGAGGCUGCUCCUAGUACGAGAGGACCGGAGUGGACGGAUCAACGGUGUACCAGUUGUCACGCCAGUGGCACGGCUGGAAAGCCGCAUCCGGAAAGGAUAAACGCUGAAAGCAUCUAAGCGUGAAGCCCGUCCCGAGAUGAGACUUCUCAUCAGCAAUGAGUAAGACCCCUUAAAGACGAUGAGGUUGAUAGGCUGUGAGUGGAAGUGGCGCAAGUCAUGGAGCGACGCAGUACUAAUAGGUCGAGGUCUUAGCUUA